rnacentral:lncRNA from 1 species
CUCCUGCUCACACUUGGUCCCUGGCAGCACCACCACCUUCUCAGCAGAACAACGAUGGAGUAGGUGGCAGUGCCCCAGAGACAAUGAGGGGCAGAAGGGGAUGAGGGCAGAGGAAGAUAAGCCAGCCAAAGAACAAGGAGAACAAUGGAAGGUACUAGAAGCUACCCUGGAGUUCAUCUGGCUCAAGGUAAUCUCCAGUGUCCCUUCUAUCUGUGACUAAGGACUAGAGAAAUAUCCACAAACUUGGGAGGCUCAUCUGCUGUGAAACCAAGCAAGCAUGACAAUGCUCAACUGCUCCUGUUUUCAAGCAUUCAUUUCAGGUAAUUGAAAUUUGCCUGUCUGCCAAACACUGGGAAUUUGCAAAAACAGGAUUUCACUCUAGC